AAGAGGGAGAACACAGACCAGGGAGGGAGGGGAGAGAGAGGGUAGAGGGAGAACACAGACCAGGGAGGGAGGGUAGAGAGAGGGUAGAGGGAGAACACACACCAGGGAGGGAGGGUAGAGAGAGGGUAGAGGGGAACACAGACCAGGGAGGGAGGGUAGAGAGAGGGUAGAGGGAGAACACACACCAGGGAGGGAGGGUAGAGAGAGGGUAGAGGGAGAACACAGACCAGGGAGGGAGGGGAGAGGAUAGAGGGAGAACACAGACCAGGGAGGGAGGGUAGAGAGAGGGUAGAGGGAGAACACAGACCAGGGAGGGAGGGUAGAGAGAGGGUAGAGGGAGAACACACAGACCAGGGAGGGAGGGUAGAGAGAGGGUAGAGGGAGAACACAGACCAGGGAGGGAGGGUAGAGAGAGGGUAGAGGGAGAACACAGACCAGGGAGGGAGGGUAGAGAGGAUAGAGGGAGAACAC
ensembl:lncRNA